GCUGGUCUAAUCAACUUUAAAGUCAACAAACGAAUGUAAUUCUACACCACGCUGCUGCAACGACAAUCCUAAAUUGCAAUAUCUAGGAAAGGUCCUUCCGGAUUUGCACCUGGUUUGAGCCAAUCUAUGGGCAGCUCUGGUGAAGAGUCAUCGAGACUCCAAACGUAAGCUUGCUGUCCGACCCGUUGUGAUCUUCAAUAUCGAUUGCAGCAUCUGCAGUUAUUUGUUCCUACAGAGAAAAAGGAAAGGGGAAAACAAAACCACUCCAAUUGGACUGCAUUUACUGAGCUCCGAAGCUUGCAAAAAUAAUCAUUGCAGUCGUAUCUCAGCGCUGACAGGAGUGCAUGCCAUCAUUCCAACGGCCUGGCAGUCGUUAUUCCGGCGAAGCUGGGAAUUGUUUAUCGGGACCCUCCAGAAUCCCCAUCGUGGCAUAAACUGAAGAAAUCGCCUAUGAGGUCGAAUUUUUCCGUGGGUAAUUCACCACGCCUGGACCCUCCGAUGGCUCCGUUUAAUUAUUAAUUCGAAGGGUUCCGAUGAGAUUUGGGGAAAUGUUGAGAUUUUUCAAACUCUUGAGAAACUAUUUAACUCACCAACUACCAGUCCCUGUCAAUCCCUAACUUGUCCCGCAAGGAGAGAUCUCUUUGAAACUUAACAGGAUAAGACUCAUAGAGUUGUAUACAACGGAAACAGACCCUUCCAUCCAACUCGGCCAUCUUAAAUUAACCUCGUCCCAUUUACCAGCACUUGGUCCAUAUCCCUCUAAGCCCUUCCUAUUCAUAACCAUCCAGGUGCCUUUUAAAUGUUGCAAUUGUACUAGCCUAAAUUGUACUAGCCCUCCUGAUGGAGGGCUUAUGCCCGAAACCUCGAAUCUCCUAUUCCUUGGAUGCUGCCUAACCUGCUGUGCUUUAACCAGCAACACAUUUUCAAUUGUACUAGCCUAUACCACUUCCUCUGGCAGCUCAUUCCAGACAUGCAUCACUUUCUGUGUGAAAAAGUUGCCCUUUAGUACCCUUUUAAAUCUUUCCCUUCUCACCUUAAACUAUGCUCUCUAGUUUUGGAUUGUCCGACCCCUGGGAAAAAGUCCUUGGCUAUUCACUCUGUUCAUGCCCCUCAUGAUUUUAUAAAACUCUGUAAGGUCACUCCUCCACCUCCGACACUCAGGAAAAUAGCUACAUUCUAUUUAGCCUCUCCCUAUAGCUCAAAUCCUCCAAUCCGGCAACAUCCUUAUAAAUCUUUUCUGCGCUCUUUCAAGUUUAACCACACCUUUUCUACAACACAAAGACCUGAACUUAAUGCAGUAUUUCAUAACUGACCAAUACUGAGAAGCCUGGAUAACUUGGACGAAGAGAAGAUGUUUCCACUGGUAGGAGAGACUAGGACGCAAGGGCACAGCCUCAGAAUGAAGGAAUGACUCCUUAGAGAGGAUGAGUUUCUUCAGCCAGAGGAUAGUCAGUCUGUUGAACUCAUUGCCAUAGAAGGCUGUGGAGGCCAAGUCACUGAGUGUAUUUAAGGCAGAGAUAAAUAGGUUCUUGAUUGGCAAGGGGAUCAAAAGUUACAGGGUGAAGCAGGAGUCUGGGACUUAGAAAUAUAUCAGCUAUGAUCAAAAGACAGAGCAGAUUCACUGGGCGAAAUGGGAUAAUUUUACUCCUAUACCUCGUGGUCUUAAUAGUCUUCCUUUGUGUUGGACAAAAAUUAUACAAAGUACCUUAUCAGUUUCAAACUCAUGGGCUCAUGGUCUUUCACUCCUGUUUGCCAGAAGCCAUUGAUAUACAGGACACCUUCGAAGUCCUAAUGCACUACAAUAAUUGCCUGGAAAGUUUAAUUCUCCCAGCUCUGAGUUAAAGUCAGAGACUUAAAAGGGUUACAGCUACCUUACAGUUAGCCUGGAAAAGCUGGAGUAUUAAAACCUGCUCUCACUGGACUCCAGACUCCAUGAAUACUUGACCCCACCAACUGAACACUUCCCCUUGAUAGAUAGCUACCCACCCAAAAUACAACUCUAUGAUAUCUGACCCAGCUUAAUCCCCACCCAAAUAACUGCAAACUAUCCCCUCACAAUUCAUCCAUUUAACUGCUAUCGUUACCCUAUCUUUCACCGUCCCCCCUCACCCUCCCAGCUCUACCUGCUUAGGCACCUCCCUCUGUGGCUUGUCAAAGUACCUUUGAGACAUUUAAACCGUAGAAUUACUGCUGUAGAAAGGAUUUGAUUUGGCAUCCUACACUUCGCUAGAAGGCUUUCUGAUCAUUUCCACCUUUCUGAAGAGGCCCAAAUCGGAAGUUUUAGCCAGAAAUGUGGAACUCUUGGCAGGUUAAGUGAGAAAGCUGUCAUUGCCACUCCCUUGAAGAUUUGGCUCUUUAUUGAGAAUGUAUAUUGAUUGUACAAAGUGUGUCAUUUGGAUUUUUACCAAACCAGACAGAUCAUUGCUAAUCCAAAAAUUAACUUGACAAUUUUUGUUUUAUAUCCAUUUCUUCAGUAUCCAGUUUAAAAAAACCUCACUUAUUCACCAUUGUCCAAAUUCAAUUAACUAUCUGUUAUAACUGAGUUGCAAGGAGUCUGUCUUUCUCUAAUCUCACUAUUUCCACCAGUUACAACUUACAUUUACAUAAACUGCAAAAAAUAUUACCAUUGAAUCUCUUUCCACAGAAUCUGCCAGAUCUGUUGAGUUUGUCUGGUAUUUUCUGUAUUUGUUGCAUAUUUCUAACAUCCACUGUAUUUUUUUACACAUAAUUGUUUUUAAUUGUUUUAUUCAAUUCCCAAUAUGGCCAAUCAUACACCUUUUCCAUAUUAGACAAAAAGAUCUAUUAAGCAGACUCCUUUAAUGAAGAAAAUUAUAAUUGAUUUAUUGUAAAACAAAACUUAUUAAAGUAAAUACAAUAUUGGCUAAUACAUUCAGUUUAUAUCAUGAACAUUUACAAGUUUUCCCAUCUAUAUAUCUCAGUAUAUAAAUAUGCAGCUCUGAUAAAAGUGAGAUAAAAAUAUCUGUACAGAUUCACUUUUUAGGAAUAAAUAAUUUUGCCUAGUAAGUUUUUCAGGCAAAAAAAAGGGAUAAAAGUUUGAAAUGUUCAGAUGGCUGCAGGUCGAAUGAUCUAGCAUAGAAAGGUGGAUGUUGCUGACACGUAUGGGUGUCUCUGGAGAUCUUUGCAAAUGCAGUCAUUCAGGAAAUAUUGUCAAUCUCUUCCAGAGGAUUCCCUUCCAAAAGCAGCUGCAGCAAGGCUCCAGACACCACACAGGGCCCACAAAAAGGAUUCAUUUUCCAGACACAGGAGAAAUGAGCUGAUUUCUUACUUUCAACAGGCUUCUCUUCAACUGCUACAAACAUUUUCUAAAACAGUCACAAACCCUGCAUGUGGUCUCCACUACACAAGCAGUUAUUACAAGAAAUAAGACCACCAAAAAAGUGUUAUUCUACUGUCUUUUCAUUGACUUGUUAAAAUCAAUUCCAAAUAUCCACAAUCAUUCACAUUCAAGUCCACAAUAUUAAUAAAUAUAUAGCUUUGAUAGCAUAUCACACUGGACACCAUCCAGUUCACUAUCCUUAAAUAGACACACUUCUUCCUCGAAUCAUUCUUGUUGAUAGCUGAAAUAAAAAUUUUAAAACUGUAAAUAGGAAUUGCUGCUAAUCAACAGAAAGUAUUAAACUUUGACCAAGUUGAUGUUUUUUGAAUGUGAUCUUUACAUUGCUGAUAAAGAAGUUGAUCAUUGA